ensembl:lncRNA
GAGCAAAGGAAAGUGGUUUUUCUAACAAACUCAUAUAAUCAGUUGCCCGACCUACUCCAAUUUGAUUCUUUUCACAUAUUUAGACAUAAUAUAGUACUAUGAAAUGUUUCUGACACAAAAUAUUACGAAAUAUGAUUGUUUACAUUAAAAUGCAAAAGUUGAUGAAAAAGUAUGAUAAGGUGAAAAAAGUGACAUUUUAUGUCUAGAAAGUCAGUUUUCAUCAAAAGUGCAAUAACAAAACUAAUUCCCAUUCAUCCCGUGUCCCCAUACACACUUGUGCUCUUUAUCCGCUCAAAACGCUAUACAGCGAACGAGAAGGCGCUAGGAGCAAAGGAAAGUGGUUUUUCUAACAAACUCAUAUAAUCAGUUGCCCGACCUACUCCAAUUUGAUUCUUUUCACAUAUUUAGACAUAAUAUAGUACUAUGAAAUGUUUCUGACCCAAAAUAUUACGAAAUAUGAUUGUUUACAUUAAAAUGCAAAAGUUGAUGAAAAAGUAUGAUAAGGUGAAAAAAGUGACAUUUUAUGUCUAGAAAGUCAGUUUUCAUCAAAAGUGCAAUAACAAAACUUGUUCCCAUUCAUCCUGUGUCUCCAUGCACACUUGUGCUCUUUAUCCGCUCAAAACGCUAUACAGCGAACGAGAAGGCGCUAGGAGCAAAGGAAAGUGGUUUUUCUAACAAACUCAUAUAAUCAGUUGCCCGACCUACUCCAAUUUGAUUUUUUUCACAUAGUUAGACAUAAUAUAGUACUAUGAAAUGUUUCUGACCCAAAAUAUUACGAAAUAUGAUUGUUUACCUUAAAAUGCAAAAGUUGAUGAAAAAGUAUGAUAAGGUGAAAAAAGUGACAUUUUAUGUCUAGAAAGUCAGUUUUCAUCAAAAGUGCAAUAACAAAACUAAUUCCCAUUCAUCCUGUGUCUCCUUACACACUUGUGCUCUUUAUCCGCUCAAAACGCUAUAGAGCGAACGAGAAGGCGCUAGGAGCAAAGGAAAGUGGUUUUUCUAACAAACUCAUAUAAUCAGUUGCCCGACCUACUCCAAUUUGAUUCUUUU